rnacentral:sRNA from 1 species
CACCGCCUGGGGAGUACGACCGCAAGGUUAAAACUCAAAUGAAUUGACGGGGACCCGCACAAGUAGUGGAGCAUGUGGUUUAAUUCGAAGAUACGCGCGGAACCUUACCAACACUUGACAUGUUCGUCGCGACUUUAAGAGAUUAAAGUUUUCGGUUCGGCCGGACGAAACACAGGUGCUGCAUGGCUGUCGUCAGCUCGUGUCGUGAGAUGUUGGGUUAAGUCCCGCAACGAGCGCAACCCUCACUUUUAGUUGCCAUCAUUUAGUUGGGCACUCUGAAAGAACUGCCAGUGAUAAGCUGGAGGAAGGUGGGGAUGACGUCAAGUCCUCAUGGCCCUUACGUGUUGGGCUACACACGUGCUACAAUGGUAUCUACAACAGGAAGCAAAACUGCGAGGUUUAGCAAAUCCUUAAAAGAUACCUCAGUUCGGAUUGCACUCUGCAACUCGAGUGCAUGAAGCUGGAAUUACUAGUAAUCGUGGAUCAGCGUGCCACGGUGAAUGCGUUCCCGGGUCUUGUACACACCGCCCGUCACACCAUGGGAGUUGGUUCUACCUUAAGGCAAGGUUUAAAACCCUUGACCACGGUAUAGUCAGCGACUGGGGUGAGGUCGUAACAAGGUAGCCGUAGGGGAACCUGCGGCUGGAUUACCUCCUUUCUAAGGAUGAAUGAAAGUAAAAUUUCAUUCUAAAUAAUAUACAGGUUAAUGUUGACCGUCCUCAUUUCUCUUCUUAAAGUAGUGUUUCUCUUGCAUGGGGGCCGGUAGCUCAGUUGGUUAGAGCACACCCUUGAUAAGGGUGGGGUCGAAAGUUCGAGUCUUUCUCGGCCCACCAAAAGAUUAAGGGGGAUUAGCUCAGCUGGGAGAGCGCCUGAUUUGCAUUCAGGAGGUCAGCGGUUCGAUCCCGCUAUCCUCCACCAAAACACUUAGUUAUAAAAACCGUAAAUAAAAAUAAUAUUAAUAUCAAUAUCUAUAUCCGAACAUUAACAAUUGAGUUAUCAAGUUAAUGUUCAAACAAAAAUUUAAUUCUACACAGAAUUUUUUUCUG